GUGUUGCCCAGAUAGACAACCCAAGAGGGGGGGGGGUGAAUUGGGUUUUUAAAUUAACUUAGCUAAUUAAAACUUUGUGGAUGAUUAACUAAAUACUAUAGCCAGUUAUUUAAUUAAAGCUAAGUGCUGUGAGUAAUGUGUGGGGAAGAAGAUGUGAGACAAUGCACUACAAACACAAAGUUUUAUAGUGGUUCGGAGCUAACCCUUGCUCCUACGUCCACUCCCCAAGUCUCACUUGGAAAUUUCACUAUAACCCCCUUGGAUUACAGCCGGUUGUUUUGCAAGCUCACAACCGAACUUGUUGUUUUACGAGCUCACAACGAACUCGGUCGGUUUUCCCAGGCUCACCGACUAGAACCAACCCCGAUUGUUUUCCCGGGCUCACAAUCAAACCCUU
rnacentral:lncRNA from 1 species